UUCUGGGAAAAAGGAUGAGAUGAAAAAGCAGCCUCCUCGCUAUGAAAAGCAGCAUUAGCGCAUCCCGACCUCUGCUGAACCCGGCUGCGGACUACGUGUGAAUCUAUUCCGACCACGGCGCCGAGUGCCGUGAAUAAGUUACAUGGAAUCACAAGUCAGCGCCGAGGAGAAGUUAAGAGCCUGAUAAGCCUUUAUCUGCUAGCCGUCAGCGCAGUGGAAGCCAAACGGAGCUGAACACUCGCUUCCAAAGAAGAAGACAUGCAGUAUGGGGAGUUGGUCCUCCAAGUGCUCUGUGGGAACCAAGGUCCAUUCACCCAAGAGAACAUGAGUGGGGUCAGAGGUCACAUGCAGUACUCACAGAAAGAUUUCUUUCUCAUACUUCUUCCUGUGUCGGGCGCGGCAACAGCAGAAGAUGAUGAUGGCAAUAACGAUGAGCAUCAGCAGCACAGCAAUUAUGGCUCCUGCGAUGAUGCCAGCAGUAUUGGGAGCUGAGCACAGCGAAAGAGAAAGAGUUGAAAGGUUUGGUAAGGACUAAGCGACGGCCCCUACUGCAACAUUGGCCAAUAUCAAUCCGAUACGUUGAUAUGUUCUAGUAGUAGAUCCGUACGCUUGUACAGUCAUGGCCAAAAGUUUUGAGAAUGACACAAUUAUUGCUUUUCACAAAGUUUGCUGCUUCCGUGUUUUUAGAUCUUUUUGUCAGCUGUUACUGUGUUGUUCCCCAGGCCACUUAGUUAUCACUUCUGCAUUUGGAAAAGGCAUUGUUCGCCACUAAACUGUUCUUAAAUGGUUGGGAGAAGUUGCUUUUGGAGGCUGUUUUGGUACCAUUCUUUAUUCAUUGCUGUGCUCUUAGGCAAAAUUGUGAGUCAGCCCACUCCCUUGGCUGAGAAGUAACCCCACACAUGAGUGAUUUCAGGAUGCUUUACCGCUGGCGUGACGCAGGACCUGGUGGUAGCCUUUUUCAUCUCUGGAACAGCUCUUUUCUGGAUGCCCCAAACAAUCAGAAAGGGGAUAUAUAAGAGAAAAUGGUUUUACCCGAGAAUACCAGACUGUCCCUGAUGUUUUUCCUGGAGAGAAGUGGCUUCUAUGCACCUUUCUCGACACCAGGCCGUCUUCCAAGAGCCUUUGCCUCACUGUGCGAGCAUAUGCCCUCACGCCUGCCAGCUACCGUUCCUGAGCAAGCGCUGCACCGGUGGUGGCCCGAUCCCGCAGCUAAAUCAACUUUGGCCAAAAUUCAGACGCUUGCGGUACUUUCUUGGGCGCCCUGAAGCCUUCUUCGUAGUCAUUGAACGUCUCUCCUUGAAGUUCUUAAUGAGCUGAGAAAUGUUUGGUUUAGGUGCCACCCUACAGCAGCACUAUCCUUGCCUGGGAAGACCUUUUUGUGCUCAGUAAUGAUGACCGCACGUGUUUCCUUGCAGGUAACCAUGGUUAACAGAGGGAAAACAACAAUUUCAAGCACCACCCUGUUUUUUUAAAGCUUCCAGUCUGUUAUUCCCACUCAAUCUGGAUGACAGAGGCAUCUCCAGCCUUGGUCCUUGCCAACACUCUCACCUACUGUAUGUUAUCCAGUCAGUCACUAACAUGAUGUCAGCUUUUGUGGCAGGGCUGUAAUGCAGUGGAAAUGUUUUGUUGGGACAAAGUUAAUUUUCAUGACAAAAAGAGCCUUUGCAAUUAACUGCAAAAUCAUCUUUUCGCUCUUCAUAACAUUCUGGAGUAUAUGCAAAUUGUCGUAACAAAAACUGAGGCAGCAGACUUUGUGAAAAUUAAUAUUAGUGUCGUGACCGUACUUGAUAUAGACACCAUUUUCAAACAACAAACAGAAAUUAAAUCAAGUUAUUCAGUACUGCAGAUGUGUUUUAUUUCAUUGUUCAACGUGCAAUAUUGUGCUCGGUGUGAAAGUGUUGAGCAUAGAUAUACAGUAGUACAUAAUAGGACUUUCGCAGGAUACUCACGAGGUGUCACAUUGAGAUACAGGAUACACUCCUCAGUGCCAACCCGGUUGCUGGCAGUGCAGCGGUAUGUGCCAGAUGCUUUACCAGAUGCGUUCCUCACAUUCAUGGUGCCUCCCAUGGGGUCUGCAGCAAGGGCAAAUGACAGACCAUUACAGAAACACAGGUGCAACAGGAACUAAAAGGUGUGAAUGUGAUUUCGACAUUUUGAAUGUUGUUUGUGAAAGAGUCAUUACCCAUCAGAGCGGAAGCAGGCAGCACCUUGUUGUCACUGGUCUUCUCCCAGCUGUAUUGCAUGGGUUUGGUGCCCUCGUUGGACGCGCACCUUAAAAGGAUGUCUUUGCCGUCCUGUGUGGGUCCUUCUGCAUAGCACCUGGGCUUGGAUGGCUUCACUGGGGAGAAAAGGGAGGGUCUGUAUUGUGAAAUUCUUACAAAUUGUUUUCCAAAUCAGCAUAAUAAGAGUAAUCAGAGUAAUUGAUACAGCAGCUGUCAUUACAGAGGCUGUCACUCAGCAUAAUGAAGAUGAAGAAAGGAAACCAUGCGAUAUUGGACACUCAAAUGCGCGUGCGCACUUGUCAGGGUUUAGGAUAGAGGCACAGCUUUCCAUUCUAGAGUGGAAUGUGUGCAAACCCUCUUCGGUCAGUUCUGAGUGCUGGCAGGAGAUGAGAUGGGGAAUUCAAAAACAAAUACCGCUCCAAAUUAAAAGCAGACCCACUCCAGUGAAACCCAGACACACCGUUAGCCAGGCGUGGGGGUGGGGAGAGAAAGAGAGAGAAAAAACUUGCCAAAAACCGAGCUUGUGCCGCGUUCUCUGACAGAGUGGACAUCACGGUGUGGUAAUGUGUUCAAACAAGAGCAAGGAAUGUUGCUCUCCAGAUGAGAACCCGGUGUCAUGCUGAAGAGCAGCGCCUCGCUGCCAGGCUGAACAGUAGACUGACGGUGCUGAGGGCUCCCAGUAAUAUCAUAAACACACACUGGAUCAGGGCAGACAGUAAAAAUAAUAAUAAUAAUAAUAAAUGAGGGAGUGCUGAUGGACAGAUGGUAGUGCGAUGGAGGCCAAGGCUGUGCUCCUGUGUGCGCACACACACACACACACACACACACACACACACACACACACACACACACACACACACAAGUAGACUACACACGAUAAAUGUCAGGGAGUGAUGGCAUUCUAAACACAUCCUUUAAAAGGGUGAAAGUGGUCACGUCAAAAGGCUGUGGACCAUCUAACCAGCAGAUUUAUUUGUUUGUGAGAUGAGGUUGAAGAUGGUGACAGAGGCUGGAGAGAUAAAGAAUAAAUAAACAGCCUAUAUAUGUUUCACCUUUGUGAUAAAAAUGUGAUAUUUUCAAAAGAUGAGAAAUGCAAUAAAUCAUUCUAAGUGCUGCAUAGAGCAGUGGUAGUUUGUCCAAAUGGUGUGGCAGCAGAUCUGGUUGGUAUUAUGUUAUUUAUAUACAAAACAAAACAGUGAAAGCACUGUUGUGGUUGUAGCCCUGUUUCCAAGUAUUAGCAAGCUAACAAGCUGCUAACAAGGAUGUUUUGUGUUACAACAAUUGGGCUCACGCAGUGUUUUUAAUAACACGACACGAUGCUUGCCAUAUUGUAACAUAGCCAUAUGGUACACUAACUAGAAACACGCUAACCAGGACGUACCUGACGUACCCGAGGUUCCACCAUAUUCUGUAACAGCGGUGGUCCCUCAGGUGCUGUGCUUAUUUAGGAAUUUAUCCCGCGCCCGCAUUAGAUUACUUAACAACCCAUCAUUGACAUUUAUACAUUAAUUCAUAAUUAUUCACAUUUGCAUCUAUUAAAAAAAGCGUCAUCUUACGUAUCAUCACUUAUCACUUAUCAUCACAUCAAUUAAGCUGCGCUUGAGCACCACAACGUGGAUGUCAUUCGCCAUCAAAGACUACUUCAGUGUUGUUUUUCUUAUACUUUUGACAGUGGUUGACAUCUUUGUGAAACUGUGAAAAACGGAAACGUCACGACAACCAUGCGCAUUCUGUGACUUAAGGUCUGACAUCUGACUUCAGCUGUAUUUCUAUGACUUUCUGUGAGAUGAAAGCUUCAAAAUGAACCUUUACUCAACCGUGUGUGUAGGAAGAGACGUCGUCAGAGAAAAUAAACAAUGGAGAGUGUCGCUGACAUGCAGUGCUGAGAUGCAGGUGACAACUCUUGUCCUCUUAACUUCAUUGUCCAGCUGCAAGCCAACGAGGGAUGCUUCCUCCUGUACAGCACCUGAACACGGGAGAGCGUUUGCCCUCACGGUGCCAGCAUGUGUGUUAUUCCUGAAUGCAGCAGCACAUGUGACAGGGUAAAGCAACGCCUGCUGCAUAUAUUAGCAAAGACGUGUGUUUGUGUUCCCGGGACCAUCCGCCCUGUGACAAGAUCAACCUGAAGGUAAAAUGCAGAGCAGGCAGCAAGUUGUCCUCGCCUCUCCUUGUCAAUGCGUCUUUGCUAAGAACAUCCCCCGGCCCUGGGGUCAAUAGCUAGCAGCCUGUCAGAGAUGUAGCCUCCAGCUAUCCUUCCUCUUCUCGCUCUCUGUCACAUGCACUACAGCUGGAGAUGCCAGCAUAUUAACCACGAUCAGAGCUGGGUCGCAUUUAGCUGAUGUGCUUCGCCUUCGCCGCUGUGGCUUCUAACUACGGUAAAUCCAAGGGCACGAGGACCAGUAGGCGCACUGCGAAUACUGUAGCACUGCAGAUAUCAUAUGUUUUGCUGUUUCAGGACAGUCGGCCUACAAAAUCUUGCGAAAUAAAUACAGCACAACCUCGACGUUGCAGCUCAGGCCACUAGUUUUUCAUUUCCUUAGUCAUCUGUGAAAGCGGACCUAUUAUCUUUGUUUUUGAAGUGGGGGGUCUACGGUACACCCAAACGUGAGCUGCUUUUAGUCUUAAUGAUACAGUAGGUAGGGCUGCGAGUACCUCCUACUUUCUUAGUCGAUCAAUCUGAAGCUUGCUGCUUUAGAUUACUCGAGUCAUCGGAUAGGCCCGAGACCAGGGAUGUAAAAAGCUUUUCCCAGCGAGCAUUGAAAGACAAAACAGCCUGCAUCUCACUUUGUGUUCUAGAAGACAAAGCUUAUUAACGACUUUUUCCUCCUCUGCUCAUUUUUCCAUUUUUGCUGUUGUUGCUUUUCAAUUUUACAAAUAUUUCAUCACUGAUUUUUUUCAAGAACAUUGUGACUUUAAGAAUAAUAAUUAAUAGUUUGACUAUUUUCGUAAUAGUCCAAUUUUUUCACAACUUCAUUUUCCAAAAAUGUCAACU